UACCAGCACCCCGAGUGGUCGGGACGUUUAUUGGGCCUAAAGCAUCCGUAGCCGGUUCUACAAGUCUUCCGUUAAAUCCACCUGCUCAACAGAUGGGCUGCGGAAGAUACUAUGGAGCUAGGAGGCGGGAGAGGCAAGCGGUACUCGAUGGGUAGGGGUAAAAUCCGUUGAUCCAUUGAAGACCACCAGUGGCGAAGGCGGCUUGCCAGAACGCGCUCGACGGGUGAGGGAUGAAAGCUGGGGGGAGCAAACCGG
rnacentral:rRNA from 1 species